AAGGCGAUUAUCACACUGCCCCGCAUGAUGCAGCGUAGUGCGUGGAUGCAUUUUUUUCCGUUGUAUGGAAAUAUCUCCGUUUGUAUGGAAAACACGCAUAGUCCAACACACUGAAAAUGCAUCCACGCGCGUUCAUGCGGAUCACGCACAUACAUGCGGAGAAACACGCACCCCCGCGCGUAGGUGCGGGGCGAAACGCAAGGUAUGGCACACUGAUCCCGCAGUGACGCGCGUGAUUUUGAAUGGGCGUGACGUGUAUAUUUGAAAAUGGAACUCGAUGAGAGCCGCUGUGCGUCGACACGCAAGAUGCAGCGUGAUGCGGGGCAGUGUGAAGAUCACCUUAUUGAAA
rnacentral:lncRNA from 1 species